UUAGCGCAGCGGUGAAUUUAACAACACUCAACUGCAGGUAAAACGGCAUUCAGAGGUGAGUUUGACCAAAGCAACCCUCAACUGCAGGCAAAACGACAUUAAAAGGUCCCUCAAAUUUGGCAGCUUCAAAGCACCACAGACACACACAAAGGCACUUUUAAAAGCCACGCCCAUCUUGUUACUCUGUACUCAUCAGUCAGUCUCUCUCUCUCUCUCUCUCUCUCUCUCUCUCUUUAAAAUAUUUUCAAAACUCCGACAAGAAUUGAUGUCAUGGCAACGCGUAGUAAUGCAGUUGUGGAAACACGUGCAUUUCCCCCUUGACGUACGUGUAGCAAAUAGCAUUGAAUUUUAGGCUACCUACUUGCAUUUUCAUUCAACAGCUUGGAUGUAAACCCAAAACUGUAUUAGACAAUAUGGAGAAAAACUGUUAAUUCCCUGUUUGUAAAGUGAUAAUAAAGAAUAUGUUUCAUUUCAUGUUAGAUGUGAGAUUUUGAAUAGGCUAUUCUUUUAGAUCUAUUAAUGGGACCUAUAUGCAACGUUUGAUUACGUUCUGCAACUUUAGUAUAUAAGUGCAUCCAAAUAUAUAAUGUAUUGGUUUAGCCUAAAAAUAUGAUUAGGCCUAUUAUUCAUCAUGGGACGACAUGACUACAGUCAAACCUGUAUAUUUCAUGAUACAAUUUAUGACAUUUUUCAUACAUUUUUGAUCAGCUAAAAUACAGUAUUUAGGACGUGAAUUUGCGGAGCACACAUGCAUCCCUGAUCCAACCUUUACUGUCAUUGGAUCCAACUAACGUGUGUGUCAAUGAGUUAUUAUUGUGUGCGCACUUACUCUUCUUCGUUUGUUGAUUACAAUAGUCCAGACAGCCCUCCGACAAACAGCGCCCCGUGCUGUGUCUGCAACCACUGCGCACUUUUGUCACUACUAGAAUGUUGUGCAGAUACAGAUUGUCCGAAAUAAAUACAUGACUAAAGUAAACCCAUUUAAAAACUGUAUUAUAUUACUCAAAAUCUAGACUGCAAUUUAAAGAAAUAGAGAAACAUUAUGUAAUGUGUUUGACCAAUUACAUCAUUGAAAAACCCAGGUGAUUUGAUUCUACAAAUAAAUUAAAAAGUACACAUAAUAAUGCUUCCAAAUCUGACCUUUUGUUAGACAUUUAGAUUUGACUUAAGUCAAACAUUGUCCAAUAGAGCAUAAUACAGUAUACAGGCCUUUGUUCUUUUGAUACUUAUAUUAUGACCUCAACACUUAUGCACAAAGAUAUAUUUAUUAAUGGCUAUACAGAGUAAAUGUCCAGUAAAAUGAACCAUAUUACGCUCAUUAAAAAAUGGAAAAUGAACAAAUGAAUGAUAUUCUUUUUUAUUUGCACUGAUUAAAAUUACAAUGACAAACUCCAAACUGGUGCUAACUCCAACAUCUCAAAGGCAGGACAAAGGCUCCCAACUGUUCUUCCAUUUGGUCCCACUGUUUCAAAAGAGAGUAAGAAAUCAUAUGAGAAAAUGCAGCAACUGUUUUAAUCUUGUCUUAUUCACUAUCCUAUUUCCUAUCCACUGCAUAUUCAAUGCAAUUUUCACAGCUGAUAUAAACUAUUUCAGUGCUGCUAAAUCUGCACAGUGCCAUCUGUGUAUAAAAGCCAUAAAAUCCAAUAGCACUGUGUAUACAAUUUUGAAUUCAGUGCAUUCUUACCACAGUAAUUUGUACAUAUUCAUAUUUCUUUAGCAUUAUAUAGAUGUAUUCUGCUACUUUUGUUUUAUUAUUCUACUACAAAGAUUUGUAUCAACCGAGAAAGAAAACAUAACCAAGUAUUGCACUAUAAAAGUACAACCAGAUUCUGAAAAAGUUGACAGUAUUGAAAAUGCAAAAAAAAAAAAAAUUCUGUUCACUCUGUACUAUACUGAAAACACAUUAUUAACAAAUAACGUCUUUGAGUAUUUCAUUUAUUUUAGAAAAUAUACACUAAAUUUAAAUCUGAUGACUGCAACACAGUCAAAAUAUUUGCGACUGUUUACCACUGUUUUAUGUAACAUCACCUUUUUUUUUUAAAUAACAUUUAAUAAGCUUUUGGGAAGUAAAGAUGCCAGUUGGUUCAGUUUAGCAAGAACACUUUUGCCCAUUCUAUUAUACAUGUCCUCUGGUGAGUUUUUAAUCCAAGCAGACUGUGGUUUGUCAUUGUCCUGCUGGAAAAUGCAAGGACUAGUGUGCUAGCAAAAUUACUGUGAAACCAAAAAAUUUAUGUAUAACACAAAUGUUAGUCCGGACUUUUAGGUGUGAAACUGCCCUGAGACGUUUUCACUACUCCAGAGCCCAGCGGGAGUGUGCUUCACUAUCUUAUGCCAAAGUUUGCAACCAAUUAUAUUUUUACUAAUACUGUGAGACCGUAAUACCGUGAUCUUUUUUCUAAAAGUUAUCAUACUGUGAACAUCUCAAACCGUUACACCCCUACUUCUUUUUAUUUAACCAGGUGAGCUUUUAAAGAGCACAUUCUCAAUAGAAAUGGCGACCUGGCCAAGAUAAAGCAAAAGGUGCAGGAUGACAAAGAAGUUACACAUGAAAUUACACAAAAUUACACAU